rnacentral:lncRNA from 1 species
UGAGACCCUGUCUCAAAAACAACAAAAACAAAACAUUGCUAUAUAUAACAUUGAAAAUUUGGCAUAAAAAAGCAAAGUAGCCCCCAAGAAAGAGGUUUGAAACUAAGUGUUAAGCAUUUACUGAGUCCCUAGACCCACUCCCUCUUUUUAUGAGGCCCUAUGUGGGUCUCAUACAGGCAUUAGAAACAAUCCCAAAUUACUAUUGCUGUGUAACCUCAAAACUGAAGAGCUUAAAACAACAGUAAUUGUUUCACGUCGUGGUUUCUGUGGGUCAGGAUUUGGGAAAGGCUCAAACUUGACAGUUGUAGCUCAAGAGUAUCCUGCACUUGUAGUUGUCAGCUGGAAUAGCACGAGGCUGGCUGGCCAGGCAUCUCCCAAUGUGUGUGGUUACAGGGUCUCUCAGGUGGCCUCUCUGUGGGCUAGUUUGGGCUUCCUCACCACAUGGGUAGCUUCAAAGGUAGAAUUUUUUAUGAGGCGGCUCAGGGCCACCAGCUAGUUGCUCCAACAAAUCAACCAUCAGCAGCACUGCCUUUUAUGACCUAGCCUUGGAAGUCAUCCCAGCAUCACUUUUGUCACAUUAUUCAGUCACCUCUCCAUCUAGAGAAUGUCACAGAUUUUGUUGACAUUUAAAAUUGCCACCUCCCACCUCAAGAAGCCCAGCUGGUGUGGGAGGCAAGACUGGUCCAGACGAUGGCACCAAGACUACCAAAAAUAAGCUGCCCCAGGAAAAAACGGCUGGAGGUGAGUGGUCUGGUGGGAAGAACACUGGACUAGGAUCCUGGCCCUGGCUUCUGUUGUUCCUGAAUAUGGCUCUCUCUCUACUCAAGAAGCGGGUACAGUUUCUGAAUAUUUUUACACCAGACUCAAUUGGCUUUGAUAAGGUGCAGCCCAGAAUCCAGAACUUCAUCCCUUCUUAACUCUCAACAUGGCAGGGCUCUCAGACAGGAAGGAGGGGGCAGACUGGGUGGAUAAAUUUUGACAGCAGGGGCCAGGCUGGCUUUGACUCUGUUGUCCUGGACUGACUCCCUGGGCUCUGCCAGCCCACUCUUCUCCACUGUGGCUGGACAUGGAACCUCCCUCAUGGAGUCUUACCCUGUCCUUUGUCAAGUCGAUUUGGGGUGGGCAAGGGGAAAGACAUUUUUCAAGGAUAAUCAUGCCUGGUCAUUAAGCUAACCUCACAUACUUAUUUGAAGGCAAAUUCUAGUAAUUUUAAGUUAAUUUUUAAGCUCACACAUGCCCUUCCUUCUUUCCCAUUUUGUUUUAUACACAGGAGGUGUUUUGUGGAAAUUUAAAGAAAGCAAAAAGAGCAGGCUGAUUAUAACUUAAAGUGACUCAGCAGGAAAACAGAGUUGUUUGUGGGCAGAAUGAGUGGGAGGAAAAGGCAAGGCAGGCUGGCUUAUAAACCCAUAACCCUUUUAGUUUACACAAAGGACUAAACCUGAUCGAUUUCAACUUGGGUUUCCCUCCACAAGAAGAGUAGAGGUUUCAUGACUCCUGUCAAAUCAUCACUAAGACAACAAAAGUUUGAAUGUCAGGCUCUUGCUCCUUUGCAGCUAGCCCAAGACCAAAGAGCUCCUCAGUGACAAGCACAUCCCCUGUCAAGGUUGCAGGCCCAGAACAAACAGAAAAUCAGACACACACACAGGUGGCCCUCCCCUUAUUUGUCCUUCACUUGAAAGUAGCAAUCCUCAGCCAAGGCAGGAAGGGGCUCAGGGAGGCUUAGGAGAGGGGAGGGAAGAGGAAUACCUGACCUAGGACAAGCUCUGGAGGCACGAAUACAAUGCAGAACUUCAUUCCAUAAACAGCCUCAAAGUGGGCACAGAAAAAAAUGUUUGCCAUCUCUGAGAACUGUGGGUUCCCCAAACCUUCUCAAGCCUUGAAAGAGCUGACAAGCACAAGUGCUACCUGUAAUAGGGGAAAUGUUCUGGGGUUGUUCUUGAUGAGCAAACUCAUCCAGCUGCAGGAGUCAGUCACUGCUCUGGCUGGCUGGCUAUGAAAAGGAAAUUCUUUUCCAUGGCUGUCACUGAAUAAUUCACAGCUCUUGUACUGUGACACUUAGGCCUCAACUUGGGAUAAAAGAAGGGAGAUGCAGUCUGGGGACUGACAAUAGAGUACAGCACACCCACCCCCAGUGCAGUGCCAGGCGCGACGUGCUCCUAGUGCUUUGGUGACCCAGUGGUGAGGCAGCUGGAAGGCAGGAGGCCUGAGGAUGCUCUCACAAUUAACUGGAUGCCCUUCCUGUCUCCGACUUUCCUCUUUCAAACUUCUCAUCUUUCUGCCUUAUCUCUCGGGUCCCCUUAACAUCUAGCUACUGCAGAAGUCACCCAGAGAGAAUCAUACUUGCUUGAAAUGAGCACCCCGUUUUCUUUUUUCUUUUCUUUUUUUCAGACUGAGUCUCG